UCCAACAUGGCGGCUUGGAAGACAAACUUGAACGUUAACCUUUGACGGCAAACCUGACCGAAGUAAUUCCUUUAGUACUACUUGGCGAGAAAAACACGUUUCUCUCUCCCUUUUGGGGUGUUUUAUUCCAAAAACGUGUCUACAGUGGCUAAAAAAAAAACAGAAAUGGAGCUGAUGUUCGUGAUGAAAAUUAUGUAAACAGAAGCAGCGUGUCAAAUUGAAGGCAGGUCUAGGUCAGUUGAUUUCUGAUGAGAUGUGAAUCUGAAGAGGCAUAUGUAGCCAUUGUACUAUUUUCAACAGAUUGUGUAAAUGUAAGUCUUAAAUUGUGUUAAAGUAUGCCCAGUCAGUAACUUGACAAAUCAAUGUUGAGAUCAACACUUAAAAUGGAAGGGAUGUGAAUUUGUCCUAACCUUGUCUGACUUUACAUUCAAUAAUAACUAUUUUAGUUUAAACCACAACAGAAGACAUGAAAUUAUUUCUGUUAAUAAACCAAAAAAUGGUUAGAAAAUAAACUUUUGACGUGCGCUUCUGUCUCUAAAGUUGCUUAGAGUAUAAUGGCAUGUACCAACCACUACCGAACUAGGCAAUUAGGGUGUGAUAAGCACUAUUCACCUGUGUGGUAUAUUGUAAAUGGUAAGGGUAAAAUGAGGGUACCCUUAUAAUUUAAAAUAAAAUUGUCCUUAGAGAACGGUUUUAUUUAAAGUGAAAACAACUUCUUGACAUGCAAACAUGAGAGACAUCUAAAUUUGCUACUGAAUAAUAGUUACAAAUUACUAAUUUGCAAUAAAUGACCAGUCAAUGAAAAACCCUGUCUAAAGGGAAAUGUUCCUUUUGCAUUAUAUUUGUUUAAAAGUAAAUGCUCUUUAUAAAUAGUAAUAAAAUCAGUUCCAAUAAGAUUCUUCCCAAACCAGUCAAGUAAAAUGUAGUGGCAAUUUUACUUGCUCCUCAGCUUGUUUUACUUUCAACUUCCUAUGGUACAAGACACUUCAAGGUCAUUUGAUGAAAAAACUCAUUUAAAUAGUUACAUCUAUGUAUUUGCAAGCCCUCAGUUAAACAGGCCUUGCAGAAUUACACAUUUUGAAUGUAAUGAAUACAUGAUAUGUCUUUCACUUGACAGGGAGCUUCAUUUUUCUAAUUUCAUCCUGGCAUUCAUAUGGUUUUGACAUACCUCUUCAAUAGUCAAAUAGUUAUAAGUUUUUCUUCUAGCUGGCUAACCCAUUUGAAAAACUGACUGGUUGGUGUUAAAGACAUACCCAGUGACUGACAGACAGACAGGAAAACUUCAUGGCUGCAGAUUUUCCAGAAGAUUUGGGAGGAAACGUUGGAGAACUGAAGGAAUCAGAUCGGAUGGAAGAUCAAAGCAUGAAUAAGGUCAAGUUUGGAUCAAACUCAUGGGAGACCAAAGUGAAAUAUAUUUGGUGAGUGUUAUAAUGAUUCUUUACCGUGGGAAUUAAAUCUGCAUGUCUAGAUAUGGUGGGUAAAUUUUUCUUCACGUGUUCUCAAAGAUUAUAAGUUUAAAAGGAAACGCAAGGGAGAGGAGAAUACUUCACACGUUGAUAUUGCAAAGAUUACAAGUUACCAAAUAGGGCCAAGACAGGAAAAAUUAUGGUUGUUGUUAUCUCGCUUGUUACACUUGUAAAUCACAGUGAAUCUGGUUUCGUAAAAGGUGUAGUUUAAGGCAUCGGAAUGUAAAAGAAUAAAACGAUUUGUAAUGUAUUUAUUUAUUCUCCUUCGUAUAACUUUAAAUUUCACACAGUGAACUUGAGAACCCAAAAGAUGUUGUGAAACAUGUCGACUUCAAAAGACCAAGGAUAGGAUUUUAUGGCUCAUUUGAAACCCUGCCUUAUUUAGUGGGUGUCAUGGUGCAAUGACCAUUUCAAGCAAUUACUUAAGAGAAAGGUCAAUCUUGGAAUGGACGAAAAAUCGGGGGUCGAUCCGCCACCGUCCCCCACCACACCCACCUCUUA
rnacentral:lncRNA from 1 species